rnacentral:rRNA from 1 species
GACGAACGCUGGCGGCGUGCUUAACACAUGCAAGUCGAACGAAGUGGCGAACGGGUGAGUAACGCGUAAUCAACCUGCCCUUCAGGGGGGGACACCAGUUGGAAACGACUCCUAAUACCGCAUACUGAAGGGGGGGAUUGCGUGUGAUUAGGUAGUUGGAGGGGUAACGGCCCACCACGGCGAUGAUAGGUAGCCGGUCCGAGGGGAGGAACGGCCACAUUGGGACUUAGACACGGCCCAGACUCCUACGGGGGGCAGCAGGGGGGAAUCUUCCGCAAUGGACGGAAGUCUGACGGAGCAACGCCGCGGGAGUGAUGAAGGCCUUCGGGUUGUAAAGGUCUGUUAAUCGGGACGCGGUACCGGAAUAGAAAGCCCCGGCUAACUACGUGCCAGCAGCCGCGGUAAUAC